rnacentral:rRNA from 1 species
AGAGCGAACGCUGGCGGCAGGCCUAACACAUGCAAGUCGAGCGCCCGUAGCAAUACGGGAGCGGCAGACGGGAGAGUAACACGUGGGAACGCGCCCUUCGGUUCGGAAUAACUCAGGGAAACUUGAGCUAAUACCGGAUACGCCCUUACGGGGAAAGAUUUAUUGCCGAAGGAACGGCCCGCGUCCGAUUAGCUUGUUGGUGAGGUAACGGCUCACCAAGGCGACGAUCGGUAGCUGGUCUGAGAGGAUGACCAGCCUCACUGGGACUGAGACACGGCCCAGACUCCUACGGGAGGCAGCAGUGGGGAAUAUUGGACAAUGGGCGCAAGCCUGAUCCAGCCAUGCCGCGUGGGUGAUGAAGGCCCUAGGGUUGUAAAGCCCUUUCGGCGGGGAAGAUAAUGACGGUACCCGCAGAAGAAGCCCCGGCUAACUUCGCGCCAGCAGCCGC